rnacentral:rRNA from 1 species
UGCCAGCAGCCGCGGUAAUACGUAGGGUGCAAGCGUUAAUCGGAAUUACUGGGCGUAAAGCGUGCGCAGGCGGUUUUGCAAGACAGAUGUGAAAUCCCCGGGCUCAACCUGGGAACUGCAUUUGUGACUGCACGGCUAGAGUGUGGCAGAGGGGGGUAGAAUUCCACGUGUAGCAGUGAAAUGCGUAGAGAUGUGGAGGAACACCGAUGGCGAAGGCAGCCCCCUGGGAUAACACUGACGCUCAUGCACGAAAGCGUGGGGAGCAAACAGGAUUAGAAACCCGGGUAGUCC